CUGUUGUAUUCAGCAUUUCACUGUGAGGUCUACUACACCUGUUGUAUUCAGCAUUUCACUGUGAGGUCUACUACACCUGUUGUAUUCAGCAUUUCACUGUGAGGUCUACUACACCUGUUGUAUUCGGCAUUUCACUGUAAGGUCUACUACACCUGUUGUAUUCAGCAUUUCACUGUAAGGUCUACUACACCUGUUGUAUUCAUCAUUUCACUGUAAGGUCUACUACACCUGUUGUAUUCAGCAUUUCACUGUAAGGUCUACUACACCUGUUGUAUUCAUCAUUUCACUGUAAGGUCUACUACACCUGUUGUAUUCAGCAUUUCACUGUAAGGUCUACUACACCUGUUGUAUUCAUCAUUUCACUGUAAGGUCUACUACACCUGUUGUAUUCAGCAUUUCACUGUAAGGUCUACUACACCUGUUGUAUUCAUCAUUUCACUGUAAGGUCUACUACACCUGUUGUAUUCAUCAUUUCACUGUAAGGUCUACUACACCUGUUGUAUUCAGCAUUUCACUGUAAGGUCUACUACACCUGUUGUAUUCAGCAUUUCACUGUAAGGUCUACUACACCUGUUGUAUUCAGCAUUUCACUGUAAGGUCUACUACACCUGUUGUAUUCAUCAUUUCACUGUAAGGUCUACUACACCUGUUGUAUUCAUCAUUUCACUGUAAGGUCUACUACACCUGUUGUAUUCAGCAUUUCACUGUAAGGUCUACUACACCUGUUGUAUUCAUCAUUUCACUGUAAGGUCUACUACACCUGUUGUAUUCAU